AACAAAAGAAAUUAAAAGAAACACUCAUCUAAUUUGUAGAGACCCCGUCCCCAAACCGAAACCUAACGAUGAAAACCGGAAGCUAAAUCGUUUCCUGCAACCACAAACCCAUAAAAGAUAUGCGCAAAAAAAAAAAAAAAAAAGAAAACCACAGGAAAUUCCUCCUUGAGACACAUUUGGAGUGGAAAAUAGAAUAUUCUCCAAAGCUCAAAGAAUGCAUUCGCUGGAACUACCUCUCGGCGCUUCGUGAAACCCAUUUCUGCCCAUCUUGGUUCGCUACAAGUUCAACCUCCGUAGGAGCUUCCUCAAUCUAAAAUCGAGGUUUUGAAGGCCAAAACUCGCAUCUUGCUAGAGUAUGUGCUGCGUUAUUCGCCAAUCUUCCGACAUAGGCAAAGGUAAUAUAAUCAAACCCUCUCACCUUCCUUUUGAUAUCUUGAAUAAUCGGGCCAAACACUGAUUUGUCUGGAUUCACAUUAUGUAACUUCUUUGUGACGGUGAGCGAAUCGCCUUCCACAACGAUCGAUCGAAAACCCAACACAUUGCCAAAGGUUAUUGCCUGUUCGUAAGCUCACGCCUCCGCCGUGAAUGCAUUUGCAACAUUAUAGCGUGGGUAAGUGCAAGCUGCUAAAAUUUUCCCAUUUUCAUUCCUAGCUAUUACACUCGAUAUAGAUCUACUGGUAGUUUUAUUGAAUAAGGCAUCAUAGUUAAGUUUAAUUUGGUAUGAGAUUGGGGGGGUCCAAAACUCCUACUUUGGAACACAAGAAGAGGGGGUUAACCCCUCAAGGGCUUGUAAUUCUAGUUGGUAGCCCUUAAUGAAAACCACCAAGUCCUGUAUGCUUUGCUUAACCCCAUCAUGGAUCAACCUAUUUCACGCGUACCAGAUUGCUCAGUAAGUAAUUACAAGAGAUACCUUUUCGUUUCCAUCUAGUAAUUCAAAACCUAUCGCUAACCAUGUUUUAUAAUAACUCAUAUCGUGGUUGUGCUAUAAUAUGAUUAUAUAUAUAGAUAUAGUCCAAGGUUGGAAUCAACAUAUUAAUUGCAGCUUUCCCUAUUUUUUCCGAUUUAAAAUGAAAAUAAAGAAACUAAAAUCCAUAAUAAUAAUAAUAAUAAUAAGGAGAUUAAUUAAUAGCUUAAUAAAUGAAGGUUUUGACAUAUAAGUAGUUUGUGGUAGGUUAGGAAUGCAAGAAUAACGCGUUUCAAACACCCUUUUUCCUUUUUCGAAAGUAGUUUCUACUUUCUAGUCUUUAAUGAACAUAAAUGAAAGAUUGAUCUGAGCCAAAAGUAUAGCGGGCAGAUAAUACCUUGGCUACACUAUAAUCAACUAAAUGCGGUAUGCCCCUCUUUAUUAUUAUUAUUUUGGAAAGCAAUAUCCCCUGUUUCACAGCAUAAGAUAAAAGGAUUCUUUUUUCCUAGGUCUUCAAUCAAUGCAAAAAGAGAGAGAGAGAGAGAUUGGAUUGAAUACCUUUUCAUGCGAAUGAGCAAUCAAGCUAAUUACUUCUAAAAUUCUUAAUCACCUCUUUGCUCCACUGGCGUGCAUCUGUUUUAAAAACCCAGUUUGUGUUGUUUACUGCUUCAUCCUUAUCUAUCCUCUCCAACAGACUUCCCUAUCCUAAUUAAAUAUUAUCUUUGGGUCUGGAUUUCAUAAUGUCAUUUCAAUUCAACUCUUUUAUUAUCUUAGUUUUUAAUGCGAUCUCAUUUUAAACGUAU
rnacentral:lncRNA from 1 species